AUGAACACACACCCACUGAUAACAGGGAAAGCUACUCUGGAGAAGCUUGGUCUUCAACCACUGACUUUGUGCACCCACGCCACAGUAACCCUGUGGGGCUGUUGUCGACUGAGACUGACAGCAGUGGAGAAGAGCCUAAGGAGGAAACCAUCGUGUACCUGUAAAUAUGGACAAAAGUGCGAUAGCUUCAUCAUCUAUCAGACCAAGCAGAUCCGUAAAACAAUCCAACAUUGUUUUGUGAAUACAUUUCUGUACCUUGUAGUAUUUUGUACAGUUUUAUGUUUGCUCAUGUUUUAUGCAAAUUGAUCUCAGUAACACAUGCAGUGUCCAGUGCCUUUAAAGUUUAAAUUAUCUUGUUGUAUAGUUUGUUUGCGGCCAAGUGUGUAACCUUUAUUUUGUUUUAGCUGUUCAUGUACAGAUGUAUGCUUCCUCAGGCACUAUAUGUAUUAAAUGUUAAUUUAAAAUAUUCAAACUAAAAGUAAAAUACUUUUAAACAUGGAACACUAAUCUGUGUUAAUGGCUACAUUUAGAAUCACUGCUCACUGAGUAGAAAACCAAGUGAAGCACUAAAGGCCAAGAUGGUGCAUAGUUACACCAAAAUAUUGCCUACAUAUACUGUACCUUCAUUAAAAUAACACAUCAUAAUUUUCUUGUUCAGGCAAAUGCUCUGGUUCAGCACAGACAAUUUUCAAAGAACUCAACUCUGAUAUCAGCUACAGCAACACAUAAAAUCAAGGAACAUUUGGAUUAUAUGGCGAUAUAUGGCCCAUAAAAUCAUGGCCAAUGAGCAGUGACGUGGAUACAGUGUUUUCAAAUUGAUUAUCUCCAGUGGCCUGUUAAUGGGUGGGAAAAGAGCUGACAAAGAAGUGUAAUCCAAGUUUAACAUUAGAUGUGAAUGAUUCUGAAUCACAGACAGGUCACUGGAUAACACUGCAGGUUUUUCGGCUUGCUAUUUCAGCACAUAGCCACCGUGGGCAGGAGAUUGGAAAGAAUGAGAAUCACAAUAGCAGAUGUUUUUUUCCCUUGCAUUGGCACAAAUAAAAGUUCCAUU
rnacentral:lncRNA from 1 species